rnacentral:rRNA from 1 species
CCUACGGGAGGCAGCAGUGAGGAAUAUUGGACAAUGGACGCAAGUCUGAACCAGCCAUGCCGCGUGCAGGAAGACGGCUCUAUGAGUUGUAAACUGCUUUUGUACGAGGGUAAACGCAGAUACGCGUAUCUGUCUGAAAGUACCGUACGAAUAAGGAACGGCUAACUCCGUGCCAGCAGCCGCGGUAAUACGGAGGAUUCAAGCGUUAUCCGGAUUUAAUGGGUUUAAAGGGUGCGUAGGCGGUCGGAUAAGUUAGAGGUGAAAUCCAGAGGCUCAACUUCGGAAUUGCCUCUGAUACUGGUCGGCUAGAGAGUAGUUGCGGGAGGCGGAAUGUAUGGUGUAGCGGUGAAAUGCUUAGAGAUCAGACAGAACACCGAUUGCGAAGGCAGCUUACCAAGCUACUUCUGACGUUGAGGCACGAAAGCGUGGGGAGCAAACAGGAUUAGAUACCCCUGUAGUC